AGACACAGAGAGGGAAGGAGGGAGAGACAGAGAGGGAAGGAGGGAGAGAGACACAGGGCAGGAGGGAGAGAGAUAGAUUUGGAGACCAAAGAGGUGGCUGAAAGUGAGGUAGUGUGAGCGUCUGUUUUGAUUGGAGACAUGGAGAUGGAGCCUCUAGGUGUGUGUGUUUCUAAACCAGAACAAGGAAACAGCCGUGUCCUAAAGGCUGCGCUGGCCGCAUGUGUGUGUUUCUGCAUCGCUCUGCUGCUUGCUGUCAUACUGGUUUCCCAGAGAGCCAAUCAGGAUGUCUUCUGCUUAACUCCAGAAUGUAUUGAAGCAGCUGGCUGAGAGACAACCCUAUUCCUGAAGAUUCCUCUUCUUACGGCGUCUACCCCUGGUUACGCCAACAUGUUGAUAUCAUACUCAAGGAUUUGCUGGAGGCUCCAUCAGACUCAGAUGAGAUAGAAGCUGUCAGGAA